rnacentral:rRNA from 1 species
UACGUAGGGAGCGAGCGUUGUCCGGAAUCAUUGGGCGUAAAGCGCGUGUAGGCGGCCCGGUAAGUCCGCUGUGAAAGUCGGGGGCUCAACCCUCGAAAGCCGGUGGAUACUGUCGGGCUCGAGUGCGGAAGAGGCGAGUGGAAUUCCUGGUGUAGCGGUGAAAUGCGCAGAUAUCAGGAGGAACACCGAUUGCGAAGGCAGCUCGCUGGGACGUUACUGACGCUGAGACGCGAAAGCGUGGGGAGCAAACAGG